AGGUUGUGCCCUUGAGGCGUGGCUUCCGGAGCUAACGCGUUAAGUCGACCGCCUGGGGAGUACGGCCGCAAGGUUAAAACUCAAAUGAAUUGACGGGGGCCCGCACAAGCGGUGGAGCAUGUGGUUUAAUUCGAUGCAACGCGAAGAACCUUACCUGGUCUUGACAUCCACGGAAGUUUUCAGAGAUGAGAAUGUGCCUUCGGGAACCGUGAGACAGGUGCUGCAUGGCUGUCGUCAGCUCGUGUUGUGAAAUGUUGGGUUAAGUCCCGCAACGAGCGCAACCCUUAUCCUUUGUUGCCAGCGGUCCGGCCGGGAACUCAAAGGAGACUGCCAGUGAUAAACUGGAGGAAGGUGGGGAUGACGUCAAGUCAUCAUGGCCCUUACGACCAGGGCUACACACGUGCUACAAUGGCGCAUACAAAGAGAAGCGACCUCGCGAGAGCAAGCGGACCUCAUAAAGUGCGUCGUAGUCCGGAUUGGAGUCUGCAACUCGACUCCAUGAAGUCGGAAUCGCUAGUAAUCGUGGAUCAGAAUGCCACGGUGAAUACGUUCCCGGGCCUUGUACACACCGCCCGUCACACCAUGGGAGUGGGUUGCAAAAGAAGUAGGUAGCUUAACCUUCGGGAGGGCGCUUACCACUUUGUGAUUCAUGACUGGGGUGAAGUCGUAACAAGGUAACCGUAGGGGAACCUGCGGUUGGAUCACCUCCUUACCUUAAAGAAGC
rnacentral:rRNA from 2 species